UAACUCAGCUGGUAGAGUGCUUGUCUUGCAUGCAAAAGGCCCUGGGGUCAAUCCCCAG
rnacentral:tRNA from 1 species